ACUUGGCCCUGGAGGGCUUCUUUGGAGAUAAAUCCCACAGAAGGGGAGGGGAAAUUAUGUAACUCAGGGAAAAACGCUAUGUGGAGUCCCAUGUACUCACAAUCUCUCUGGAGGAAACCAGGCUUCACCGUCGCCAGGUGACAACGAAAUGCCCUAACCCCGGGCUGCCAGCAGCACAGGGCCAUGGAAUCCAGGGAGAAACAAGCUCUGAGCUGAGGGGUGUGUAAAAUGGAGGUUCUGAUUCGGUAGCUCCGGGGCGGGCCUGAGCUCUGCAUUUCUGAUGCUCCCAGGGAUGCUGAUGUUGCUGGUCUGGGGACCGCUCUGAGGUCAGGGCUGUGGAGGGCAGGCACCAGGCUGAGCAGCGGCACUGCUGGUGCUGAGUCAGCUCUUCCCUCAGCCCCUGAGGUCUGGAGUGCUUCCCGUUGGGAGAUUUACUAGUUUUCUUGCUUGGCUACCCGGCAUUAACAGGCAUUGGAACCGUGGGAAGCGAGUCUCCUGCCCAUCUCUGUUCAUCCCGGACAGUUGCAAUUGUGGAGGGACCCUCCAAUGACAUUGGACACUGGAGGCCCAGAGAAGGAAGUCCUCUGAAGAGAAUAAAAUAGUCCACUUAAAGCAACACCAGAAGUCUCUUGGGAUAUGUGAGGACAAUAGCUCCCUGUGUGUGCUGGAGACCUUGGACAAAGUCCCCAAGUCAUAUCCAUACCUACAAGGUGUCAGAAGAAAAGAUUACAACACAUCCCGUUUAAAGUGGGCUCAACCUACUCCAAGGCACCCUCUUCUGGUGAGAAUCACAGGCCUAGAAGGAAAGAAGGGGAUGUCUAUCAGCUGCCAUGCCUGUGCCUCUCUGCUUCCUUUGUUCCAUGCACAUGGCACACUGUCUACUUGCUCAAUGCUGUGGUCUCAGCCCUAGCACUGGACUCAGUAAGGAAUUAGUUGAGCGAAUGAAUGGAUUCUCCAGC
ensembl:lncRNA novel transcript